rnacentral:rRNA from 1 species
AUUGAACGCUGGCGGCAGGCCUAACACAUGCAAGUCGAACGAGUGGCAGACGGGUGAGUAAUGUCUGGGAAACUGCCCGAUGGAGGGGGAUAACUACUGGAAACGGUAGCUAAUACCGCAUACCAUCGGAUGUGCACAGAUGGGAUUAGCUCGUAGGUGGGGUAACGGCUCACCUAGGCGACGAUCCCUAGCUGGUCUGAGAGGAUGACCAGCCACACUGGAACUGAGACACGGUCCAGACUCCUACGGGAGGCAGCAGUGGGGAAUAUUGCACAAUGGGCGCAAGCCUGAUGCAGCCAUGCCGCGUGUGUGAAGAAGGCCUUCGGGUUGUAAAGCACUUUCAGCGGGGAGGCGUUACCCGCAGAAGAAGCACCGGCUAACUCCGUGCCAGCAGCCGCGGUAAUAC